UAUUUAUAUAUCUUUGUUUACAUACUAUGGUUCCACCUACAUAAGAAGUAUAUAUAGGGAUCUUAGGAUCUUCUCAUGUAAAAAAUCAUGUUGAAAUUUUGUGUCUAUUUAUCUUUUCAUAAAUAUUAAAUGGACAAAACAUUCUGUGAAUAUUUAUGAAGAGUGAAAAAUAUCACAAUGCUUAACUUGAGUCUCUUGACAUUGUCAAAUGUCAUAUAACAUGAGAAGAUCACGUAUAUAAAGAGAAAUAUAGAUAGCAUUUUAAUUUGAAAGUAUCAUGUGAUAUAUACUAAUCCAAAAACAUGUAAUUAACAAGAUAAAAAUAUUGCAAAUAGUCGUUAGGUUCUAAAUUUUUCCAUUGAAUUUGAAUCAAUAAGUUCUAUAGUGGUGACACAAUAAUAAAGUAAUGACUAAAUAUAUAUGUUGUGUAACAUAUGUCAUUACAUAGAGAUCAUUCAAGCCUCAAGAACAAUAACAUAAACAUUUCCAUAUUAUUUACGAUCACCUAAAUAUUCUGUCUUGCUAUUCUUCUGUGUGAGGUCCUUGAUGCUUUUCUUGACCUUGGCCCAACCUUUCUUGCAGGCACCGGCAACCUUAACCCCACUUUUCACGAUGGCCUUCUUGGCUUUCUUCGCUGCAACCUUCGCCUUCUUUGCAGUCACCUUCACUUGCUCCUCAAAAUCUGCCAUCUAGAAUAUUGAAUUCUCAAAAUGAAUUCAAUUCAAUGGCGCCUGCAAAGGAGGGUGGUGUAUGCAGUAGUUAAUUAGCACGCACGCUGCAUCAAUGUAAUGCAGGUUUUGUUGCUUUAUUUAUAUAUGAUCAUGAAGACCUUUCCUUGACCAAAUCUUUCAGGAACAGGUAGAUUUCUAUGGUUAACCUUCAUUCCCGCUAAUGCCAAAUUUUAUUUGUUAGAUUAUGGUGCUAAUUAAGGUAAACCCCACUCAAAAUUCAAUGUCAAUGUACAUUUUGUUGAAAUUUUAAUUUUUAUUAUUAAUGACUGGUGAAAUGAAAUUACCUGAAAUUGAGGACAAAUGAAUGAGAAGUUGAGAACAAACAAAUGAAAAGAACCAAUAAAGUCCACCACAGAUAUAUGAGAAAGGAGGGGAAAGUUUUGGAGAGGAGGAAAUUUAAAAUAAUUUUAUUUUCGUACCCUUACCCUUUUUGGUUUAAAAUCAUUUAUGGUGAUGGGAUUGUGCCGAGUCUAAGGUAGGGAAAGUUGUCACUCAAAAAGUAUUGACAAUAGACAUAUUUUCCUUACUGUCUCCAAGGAGAUAAGUUAGAUAUGAAAGAAUAAAUGGUAAAUGCUCACUUUGGUCCCUGAAUGUGCAACUCGCUGUCAACUUCGUCCCUAAACUUUAAAAAUUCAUCUUGUAGUUCCUGAAAGCGGCAGAUGUCGGUCAAGUUAGUCCCUUCGUCAGUUUUAGUCAACUAACGGAGAUGAUGUGGCUGUUAAAUGCUGAUGUGACAAACGUUAGACAAAUUAGUCCCUAAUGUGGAAAACGUCUGCAAUUUAGUCCCUACUAAAAAAUCACCAACCUGAGAGUGAUAAAACAAGUAAUUUUCCAGCUGAGCAACACAAUCUUAUGUAUAUAAUGUGAAUUCAGUUAUAUUUAUUUCAAUGUUAGAUGUUAAAUUGACAUUAAAAUAUUUAAAUUAUUUUUCUUCAUCUCCUCAUCUUCAUCAUUCUUCUUCUUCUCCUGUAUCACUGUUCUUCAUCUCCAUCCUUCUCUUUCUAUGUGAAGCUGCUGAUAUGUUCAUAGUCGUGUGCUGCUACUGCUGGAUGAAGUUACAUCUAUCGGGUUAUAUUAGAGUUCCUAAUGAAUUGGAGCCGCAGAGGAGAUAAUUUAUUGUUGUUUUCCUAGAGUUUAGAUUUGCAGAUCUCACACUAUCCUUCUAGGUAAUUAGGUUGCAUAAACUUUUAUGGCCUUUGCUUAUUUAAAAUCAACAUAUAUUGUAUUUUGGUUAGCAUCGGGUUAUACUGUGGCAACAGCUCAAACAUCACAUGAAGGUUGCUGUGAAUCACCAAAUUCAACAAGCUAUGUUUUAAGCCAAGAUUCAACAUAUAAGUUUGGCAUUAUAUAGGAUAAGGUCAUUAUUUUAUGAUGGUGUAUCUUUUGGAGUUGGCUGGAAGAAAUUCCUUCCAGCGGUUUAAACAAUUGGCUCUUUCAAUGUACAGGACCAUAGUCUAAUGGGCUAUAUUUAGGUUUUCCAUGCCAUAUGCCUCUUUUUUAUGGAAGGCUCUUAGAUGUGCAUGACACAUUCUGGGACUAAUGUGUCUAACGUUUGUCACAUCAGCAAUUAACAGUCAUGUCAUCUCCGUUAGUUGACCAAAACUGACGGAGGGCAGGAUGGAUUUUUAAAGUUCAAUGACAAAGUGGAUAGCGAGUGACACAUUCACGGACCAAAGUGAGCAUUUACAUGAGAUUAAAAUUUUAUGUCAUUUUUUGGUGUCUUCUUCCAUCUCCCACCAAUAUAAUUGUGACAUGUCAUUUAAAAACCACACAUGUAAAGUGAUAAAUCAAUGCCUUUUAUUAAUUAACAUGACAUAAUUAUAUUGGAGUGGCAAGGAAGAGAACAUCAAACAAAGAUAAAAGAUUUCGAUCCACAUGGGAGACUCUAACAUGUUUCACUCACCAAGCCCUUGAGGUUAACUGUUAAUAUAUAUAGUGUCUUUACCUUUACUUUUAAAAAACUAUAAAAUAUAUUAAAUAUAAUAAAAAAUAUUUGGAUCACAUAAUUCAUUUCCUUUAGAAAAAUCGUCUAAUUUAGGAAUGAUCCAAAAUAAAUCAGUGUUAAGGAAUUUACGAGGGGAUCCAAAGGAACUGCUCUGCUUCAAAUUGACCAAUAUUCCCUCGAUUAAUUUCCAACCUUAAAUACUUACUCUCGUUUAAAUAUCUAGAUGUAUUGAAUACUCAAAGCACAAAUUACUCAAUUCUUUAUAACAUUGUCCAGCAAGCAAUAACAUAAAGAGGGAAGAUAUUACAAAUUACCCCAUUCUUUACAACUAUUCCAUUCUGCUAGAUGUCUAGAUAAUGGAGUCAUAUUUUUAUUCGAUUUUGUUUUAUGACUUUUAUCUCAUUCUAUUCUAAUACUUCAGGUUGAAUCUUCACCACAGUUUCUUUGAGAAUACUUUGCUGCAUAUUUUAGUUUAAAUUUUGAAGAACUAAAUUUCAAAAAGUUGUUGUUUAUGUAAAAAUUGAUUUUGGUUGCUUGGAUAAUUACAAAGCAUUAACUUGUGCAAUUGAUUUUUGAAAUGUCAAAUUAUUAUGAACACUUAGGCUUAAUUAAUUUAUAGCCUUAGAAUACCAGAGAAAAUAGGUCAAUCUCAUAUGAAGGAGCCAUGUUUUCCCAUAUUAGCUUGAUUUUCCUUAGAUUCAAACCUUAAAUCUAUUUUUAGCCAAAACCUUAACAACUUCUGAUCAUUGCCAUGAUAAAAAUGCUUCUGAUACAAAAUAGUAAUUUGAUUACUUAUAUUAUACAUCAUUGACAAUUUGAUAGCAUAACUUUUGGUGUAAUACGGGUAUCUUUCACGGUAGACAAUCAUGUUCAACGAACCAAGAAAAAAUUGGGUACUAAAACUAAAAUUUACAAAAAAAAAAGCAGAAUCAAAAGCCAGAAUUCUUGUUUGGCAAUUGAGCUAAAAAUGGAGGUACGCUCGGAUCUUGUACUACCCUCUCUUGAAACACCCCACAAUCGUCCACCUUUUCCUGAUGAUAAGCAUGAUACUUUUAGACCUCCCCAAAUACUUAUAUUUUGGCCUUGAUUUUGAAUCACAUAUACAACACAAUGAAGAUUUUUAAUUUGAUUCAAUGAUUCUCUUUGAUUUGUCUCUUAUAAUGAAUUUUGGGGUUAUCAUCAUUGACUUGUUGUAUUAUUGUAUGUAAGUUGCAACUGAUUGCAUCUUUUCCUUUGAUGUCUUAUCUAUUUAGUGUGGUUGGAAGUUGGUUUGUGUAAUUUUUGGCCGACUGUUUUUCCUAUUUUUGGUAGUCACGAGUUCAAUGAGUGUUUGUUAAAUUGAUAUGUUGUACACAAAUUUUUAGGUCACUUCUGCAUGUUUUAGCCGGUGUUCCUAGAAUCGAACCAGUCAUUAAAUUAGCGGAGGCAACGAUAUAAGGUUCAAUGGUCGGAUUGUGAUUGAAUUGUUAGUGUGUGUGUGUGUGUGUAAUUGUAUAUAUAAUGAAAAUACGAUAUAGCUUUUUAACCUUCAAUAGGUCAGAAAAUGAAAUCAUUAACCUUCAUAUAUAGAUUUUUAUCAUUUAACUCAAGGAAUCAUGUGCAAAUAGGAAAAUGGUUCUUCCUGUAUGUUUAUUCUUGCGAUUCGUUUCAUUAGAAAUAGAAUUUUUUUCUUCCUAUUUAUGAAACGCCAAAACUAAAAAUAAAAAGAUUUAUCAAAACAACUUUUUAUGUGAGCCAAGGAGCAUAAAGCAAAAAAAACUACAUCUAUUCCUCAUCGUAAUUUCAUCUAAGUUACUAGUUGUCAAGUCUUGGAAAAACAAUGGAAUUUUGGGUGGAGAUUAAAUAAGAGAAACCACCACUUGGUUGGCACUUGUACCGAUUACUUUAAUACAUAGUGUAGUUUUGGGUUUGUAUUUUCGACUCUUUUGGAUUGAAGGUUUGUUUCUAGGUUGGGAAGAACAUGAUGAAGAAGAAGAUGGUGGAAGGGAGAGAGACCAUUUGACAAAGUUGUCGGAGCUCAACCUCCUUUGAGAACUAAAAGUGAGGUGUUUCCUAAAACAAAGGGAUGUUAUCCAGACUUUACUCCGAUGAGAGACUAAAAUCAAACUCACAUAUUAAAUACAAACAAAAAACAUAGUUAACCCUCUUUUUAAAAAUAGAAGAUACACUAAAUUUCUCUCCAUUUAUUAUAUUUCAUAUUCUAUCUUGUUUUGUGCAACUAGUUAUCCAUUGUUGCAUUAUCAUCUCUACGACAUUGAGCUUAAUUUCUUCUUUUGUCUAAAGUUUCAUUAGCUUAAUAUAUUAGUAUAAGAGAUCAUCCUAAAGAAACCUAUGAUAUUUUUCCUUUCUAAAAUUGGAAAGUGUGUGUAUAUAUUACAUCAUAGUUAGAAAGAGUGAAUCAAAAAAUUGAACAAGUUCUCAUUAAUUUUACUAAUUGUUACAACAACUUCACUCAUGUAUAUGCUACAAGAGGAAGCUCACAAAAGAAGCAACCUAACUAACUAUAACAUAACAAAUUUCUUAUAGUAUCAACUAACUAUUAGUUAUUACUAUAUUACUCCCCCACCCCACUCAAGCUUAAUGAGGGUUGCCUGCAAGAGAAUCUCGAACAUGAAGCUUGGACUUAAGUUCCAAAACCUUGUAGGAGAGAGAACCUUGAUGAGGUUAACAAUGAUAUAUUAACACAAUAAUUUUGUAAUGAAAAACAAGUCCAACUCCAUGUGUUUAGUGCAAGCAUGAAGGACUAAAUUAUGGAUAGAGAAGCAGUUCUUAGGUUGUCACAAAAAAUAGUAGGAAGGGAGGGAGAGAUCUAUAACUCACUCAAUUGGGUAUGCAACCAUAAUAUUUCAGUUGUAGCAAUAGCUAAGCUAUGAUAUUCUGCUUUUGUUGAAGACCUAGCCACAAUUGUUUGCUUCUUCAAUCACCAAGAAACCAAAUUCGAGCCAAAUAAAUACAUGCUCCUGAUGUAGUCCUCAUAUCAUCAGGAUCAGAAGCCCAGUCAAGAUCACAAUAACAGAGGAUAGAAAAUGGUGUGUGAGGAAAAGUUGGACUAAGUUGAAGACCAUUAGAAGUAGUACCACAGAGAUACCGCAAAAUGCGUUUUACGACUUUCCAGAUGAGACUUUAGUGUUUGAGACAUGUAUUGACAAACCUUAUUCAUGACAUAACUCGAUUUUGGCAGGUAGUGGCAUACUGAAGUGCACCAAUAAUAGAGAGACAAUGAGUAAGAUCAGCAACAAGAUCAUCACCAAUCUUGCUGAGUUUUUAGCCAUCAAUUGUAGGAUUCAAAUAGGCUUGUCCCCUUCAUGUUAGUCUUAGAGAGAAUAUCUAAAACAUACUUAGCUUGAUUUAACAAUAAGAGGUCAUCAUGAAGAGAUUUAACCUCUAUGCCUAGAAAAUAACCAAGUGUGCCCAAUAUCUUGAGAGAAAAUUGACCAUUCAAGCUUUUGAAUGAAAGAGGAUUCAUUUUUAAUGAUGAUGAUAUCAUCCACAUAAACCAAGAUGUAAAUUACCAAAGUAGAUUGAGAGAGAAAAAAAAGAGAAGGGUCACACUUGCUAGUGGUGAAUCCCAGUUGAAUUAAAAUAGUUGUAAGUCUCUCAAACCAUGCUCAAGUAGCUUGUUUAAAGCCAUAAAGUAUCUUAUGAAGCUUACAAACGAAGGUCCUAACAGUGUCAAAUCCUAGAUGUUGUCGCAUGUACACUUCUUAUUUUAGAAUUUCAUUUGAAAAAGCAUUAUUAACAUCCAACUGCGGUAUAAAUCAUUGAUGUUUCAAGUCAACAUUACUCAUUGCCAUGAUAAAAAUAUUUUGACACAAACUGAUAAUUUGAUUACUUCAAUUUCACACCACUAACAACUUGAUAGCGUAAUUUCGAUUACGUUGAUCAUAAGGAUCAUAUACAUAUAUACGACUAUAUAAUAAGCUCAACAAUGAGUUGCAAGAGUACAAUUUGUGCAUGGAAGAUGGCACCAAAAUACAUAAAUUGUCUACCAAAACUAACAUUAACAAAAAUUAAAAGUAAAAUUAGAAGCUAGAAUCUAGUUUUUAAUAGCUAAUUUAGCUAGCUAAAAGUGUAGGUGCAUUCGGGUCUUGUACCACCCUCUCUUACAACACCCCACAAACAUCCACCCCAUAUUCUUGUAAAACUUGAUGCUUUUAGCUAGAGACCUCCCAACAUAUUUGUCUUGUGGCCUUGAACCACAUCUAAGACUCCUAGACAUUGUAUGUAGUAGCAGAUAUAGAUUAUUGUAAUUAGAAACGUGAAUAAGGUGAAAUCAAAGUGAAGAUACUUGAUUAGAAUCAAUGUUUCUCAUUUUGAUUUGCUAAUGGUCAAAUAGGAAUGGCACCAAGAUAUUCCCUUGUUGUAUCUCCUGUAAUUUGUCUCUUAUAUAUAUGUAUAUCAGUUGUAACAGAUUACAUCUUCUCUUUAAUGUCUUGUUUGGUGUAGUGGUAUUGUACGUGUUGCUGUAUUUAGUGUGUUUGGACUUUGGAGGUUCCAUUUUGGGUAAUUUAUGGCUGGCUAUUCAUUCUAUUUUUGGUCAUGACGAGUUCAAGGCGUGUUUGUCUAAUAAUACUAAUGUAAAAUCUCACGUGAUGCAUGCCACAAUAUUUUGUAUGAAUUAAACUGUAAAAAAUAUUUUGUAAUUUCAUAAUCUUGAAACAUAUACAGAACAAAAAAAAAUAUAUAAUUGGUCUAUGACAUGUACAAGUGUUCUUCCCAAUUAUUAAACACAAAAAAUUAAAAUAUAAGAAAAUUUGCAUGUGUUAUAUCUUACCAUAAAUCGUCAACAUUACCAGCACCUAAAUUCUAAAAAACAAUGGAUAAUUUAGGUGGAGAUGAAGUAAGAAAACCAUCACUUGGUUGGUAGCAACAAUACACUUAUGUUAAUUAUUUUUGUUAAGAUUGAAAUAAUAAUGAGUAGUUGAUUGGUACUUUAUUAUUAAUUUAGAAGUAUAAUAUUUAUAGACUAGCAAUAUUUGAGUAGAUUAAACAUAAUGAAAUGAUUUUCUAAUAAAAAAGCAUAAUGAUUUGGAAUGAUGUGCACAAUUCUAAAGGACUCUCCAGCACGGUGGUGAUGUGUUGACACGACGAAAGGAGGUACCUGCAAAUACAAUCUGGCGCUCAAGUCAAUAUGUGAGCAUUAUGGGAGAAGCUCAAAGUCAUAGACGAUCUAUGAGGUAGAAAAAUGAGUAAUUCCUAUGUAAAUGAAUGAUCAAAUCUAUAUUUAUAGGUGUGGUAGUUGACAUACUUAAGGCAUUGAGCAAUGAUAAAGUAUUUAUGUAAGACUUUCGAGAUGAUGAUGGCUUGAAGGCAACCUUACAAUUGUCACAUAGUAUGUCGACUUCAAUCUGAUCGCUUGUAAGCUGGACGUGAUGAACCCGCUUCUAGUUUUCUCGACUGGCCAAAAUGUAGUCCACUUUGAGGUUGAUCAAAGUAGCACAAGAAAGGGGGGUGGUUUUGAAUUGUGUCCCACUUAAAUCUUGAUUUUCCAAACGAUAUAAAGAUUUCUCAUCUUCGUUGGUAUCAUUUGGUGCAGCGGAAGUUUAAGAGCAUAAGAGUAGACGAUACACACAGACAUUGUAUCCUGCUUCACCCCCAGAAUGAUAGGGCUACGUCCAGUCCUUGGCAGCACCAAGAUUUCACUAACCACAAGUAUCAAGGACUUAUCCUUACAAGUAUGCGACAUGACUUCUCCCAAUGAGUAUUCUUGUACAUGUCUCUCCAGGCAUAACGAGGACUAUUGUACAUGCCUCUCCAGGAAUAACGAGUAUUCUUUUUCCACUACCUCUAGGAUUUUUACCGAUCUUAUCAAGAAAUCCUUUUCUUGUGGCGAUCUUCACUUGGCUUAUCAAUCUCUGAUUGUGGCGCCUUCCUCCAUCUCUUCAUAACGAGUAUUCUUGUCCAUGCCUCUCCAAGUAUAACGAGUAUUCUUGUACAUGCCUCUCCAGGCAUAACGAGUAUUCUUUUGCCACUGCCCAUGCCUUCUCCCAAAACAAUCUUUCUCAAGAUUGCUUUUUUCUACUCUAAACUCUCUUCUUGAAAGAGAGAUAGUAGAUCAAUUAAGUUCAUGAAUCAUAAUGGAUUAAAGUUUGACUCUUAAGUGAAUACUUUAUGUUCAGUUACAUGAUAGAGAUAGCAAAAUUUGACUCUAAAGAAUGUCUAUAGUACAUGUUGAAGCAGAUGAUGAUAUAUGAUAUGAUCAAUUGAGAUUCAUCAAUGAUCUCUGAUUGUUGAGAUCUAAGGCUUCUUUUCAUGCUUAAAUGAUUUGAGCAUGAAGCUCAAUCCAUGUGAGCUUAAGCGCUACUUCUUCAAGUCUUCACUUCUUCCCUUUAUACUCUUCAAUCUUUUGGGAGUGAAAGAUAGCCGUUGCGGUCCGUUAGAGCGUGUUGUUCACAUAACUUCUAGGCGUUGGAUCAAACUUUACAAAAGGUACUUUCGUCAGAGAGUGGUACAAUUUGAUUGAGACCUUAUGCCGUAAAGAUGUAAUAUAUCUUGUAGCAGGUAACAUAGGUCUAAGUUUCUAUCCGUUGGGUUGAGAUAUGGAAAUCUGAUAGUGACACCUAAGAGUUUUUAUCUUUAUCAUAGCACUGUGUUAGAUAUUUGAUUUUCAACUUGAAUCUUCUGCACAAAGCUUUCUCGGCUUUAUCUUCAAUGGGAAGUUUGCUUGAUUUGACUUUGUAGCUUGCUUGAGUAAGACCUUGAUUCUUCUUCAAGUGAUUUUUUCCAUCUGUCGUCUUCAUCCUUCUUCAGUUCUUCAGACGACGACCUUUCUUCACAUGAUUGAUUCUCAUUUAGAUGAUUCUUCUAUUGAGCUCAUAUCAUCAUGCUUCUCUCUUGACAUAGCAGUCUUCAUAUGAUGAUAAACAUUGGUUGCCCUUGAAGCUCUGCUUGCAUGAUUUAUCUCAGACGAGGCUCUUUCUUUAGCCAUUUAUCUUUUAGAAUAUUUGUCGGUUUGGCGCAUGCUUCAUACCUCUCAUAUGUUGGCCACUUAUUCGUUGAGACUUUCAGCUUUGACCAAUUUCUUCUUCAGAGAUGAAUUGUCUAGCUUGUCUAUAUUAGAUAGAUGCUUGAAUACAAAGACAAUAGACUUCACUCCAUUCUAUCAAUUCUUUGAUGAGAGAGAAAGAGGAAACUUUGAUGUUGACAUGUUGCACUAGUUUCCUUGGUCAGAGUGCUCUGUAUAGUAUCUCCUGAUUUCCUAGCACUUGACUUUCUCCUCAAGAAUGUCAGAGAUAUUUUCGUUUGAAUAUGACGCUCUUUUCUCUGAACAUUGCUUUCCUUUGAUCAGCCUUGAGAUAGACUAUGUAGUAGAUGUUUGUACAAUCUUCUCAACCGAUCUGAUGGCUUGGACAAAUCUUGCAUUGUAUGUCCUUGAAGCUCUAAAUCUUUCAUGUGUAGCUCUGAAGCUUUUGAUUAUUUUCUACUUCUUCUUCUGAUCAGACUAUUCAGCAGAUAAAGCAUUUUGUUGCUUGUGUAGUCUUCCUUGAUGCUUUGACUGACCUUCUUGAAUUGACGAUGAAGCAUGUAUGACUUUUCUUCUUUACUCUGUCGUCUACAUUUGUACCUUUGUCCUUUGCUGACUCCUUUGACUUGACUUGUUCUCUUUCUGAUGCUUCUUGUCUUCUCUCUCUUUUCUUUUCUUGAGUGUAUCUUUUUUGUCUUUGUGUCAUCCUCUUGCUUUGCUUCUCUAGUUGAUAUGUCUUGAAUGGUGUGUUAGUAAUUUCCUAAAAAUGCAAUUCACAUGAUAUAAGCAAUGAGUUCAUUUACACUCUUGAAAAUUGUUACCAUUCAAAACAUGAUAGACGAUACGAUUGGUGUUUAAACUUAACACACCUAAUUGUGGAACCUUUGGGUCGCCUCAAACGAUAUUGGGCUCAAUAACCUUUUGGGUCGACUGAAACAGGAGCCCCCCUACAUGGUAUUUAAUGUAAUUCAAUGUCAGGCCUUAACAAGUUUAUUCAGUAUGAUAUGUAAACAUUAUGAGAUGAAAAUCAUAUUUGAAAUAUUCAAGAAACACUUUCUUUGAACCAACUUUUUGGCCGAGAUAAAAUUCAUUAACUUUACUCAUUGCGGCUCAGUUCUUUUGAAAGUUUUUUGAAUCUUGAAACGUCAUAAUUAAUGAACAAUCAUAUAUUGCAGUUAUGACUUAAUCAUAAAAACAUGUAAUAAAGUCGCAACUGUCAACAUAGCCACUUUUUUCAAAUCUCAUGCUUUACUUUAGGUUUCAUACUUGCUCGUCAAUUAUAUUUAUAUUUUUAAUAUUGGAGAAAGAGCAUUAUGGAAAGUUUCUUCCUUUCAUUCCCCCUUUUAUAAAUAAUGUUCUUGAGGAAAUCAUUUCUUCACUUCAAAAUUUUAUAAUCUCACUUUUUUCUUCUACGAAGAGUGCUUUUGAAUUUUUCAUUAGUAGACCAUAUGGCUCUUCUCGUUCAAAACUUUUAGAGUUUUCCUUUUACAUGUAUAAGUUCAAGUAUAACCAUUUCCUUUAAACUCUCUCUUCAUUUUCCAAUGGUUAUAAUUCGUUUAAUAAGAGAAGAUGAGAGUGAGAAAAUCAUUGAGGAUAUAACCGAAACCUAUAAUGUGCUAUCAAACCUACUCAUGUCCCUUUACAAUUUAUGAGGCAUUUUCUCAGUUUAGGUGAGGAAUUAAUAGAAAUAAUCAAAGGCCUUAAGGGAACGGCAAGAUUGGAGUAGCGAUUUGAGUGAUGAUGUUUCCCCGUAAAGGACUUAACUGAUCUCGUAAUGACCCAAAUCCCAAUCCUUGCAUAUUUUUGAAUUCACUUAUGGUACUUCAAUAUUUAUUAUGAGUAUGCUAAUUAUGUUGUAUGCUUUUCUUUUAGACAGUUUACUUCAACAUCUACAGAUGUAAGUUAUUUUCCAACAUUAAAUUGGACCAAUUCAAGGAAUGGAACUUGAGCUUAUUCUAGGUUGUAUGGAUCUAGAUAUUGCAAUGUGAAAUGAUAAGUCUGUUUCUCUUAUGGAAGCAAGUUUCGUUAAAAAACUAAUUGGAAGGGACUCUGAGAAGUAAAAUCGUUCAAAUUGUAUGUGUUUCAUGAUAAUCAAGCGCAACAUUUCAACAACCUUUAGGGGUAUGGUAUCUGAAGGGACCACUUAUGUUAAAGAUUUCAUUGUCGAACAUGAAAAACGCUUGACAAAAAGCGAUAAGGCAUAUAUAAGUAAACUUCUACAACGUUUAAUUUCCAUGAAGUAUAGAAGCAAAGGAAAUACCAGAGAGUACAUUAUGGAAAUGUCUCAUAUAGCCGCUAAACUUAAGGAACUAAAACUUGAGAUAUCUGAAGACCUCCUAGGGCAUUUGAUUUUAAUCUUUCUCCGAUGCAAUUCAGUCAUUCAAGGUAAAUUAUAAUUGCUAAAAUGAGAAAUGAAAUCUUAAUGAGCUUAUUCCAUAUCUUGUGCAAGUGGAGGAGAGAUUUAGGCAUGAUAGCAUUAAAGUAAUAGUUUGGGAAGCACCUAUAAGGAAAAGGGCAUAAAGAGAAAUAAAUUGAGGCUGCUAAGGGUUUGAAUUAGAAGAAAUGAUCUCGGACAAUGAUAAGUGCUUCUAAUCUAAGAAAAUUGGACAUCAUAAGAAAAAUUGCACCAAGUACCAUGCUUGGUGUGUAAUCAAAGUUUCACCACUUGUUUUGGUGUGCUCUGAAGUUAAUUUAGCUUCAGUACCUAGAAACACUUGGCGGUUAGAUUCUAGUCCUACUACUCACAUAAAUGAUUUUAUGCAGGGUAACCUAAGCUACCGAGAGUCAAUUGAUGUUAAAGAGUAAAGACACAUUUAUAUGAGAGACAACAAGUCGGUAGAAGUGGAAGCAAUUGGUCAUUUUAGAUUAUAAUUUUUAUUAGGAACUAGAUAUUAUUUGGAUUUAAUAAAUACUUUUGUGGUUGCGUCGUUUAGAUUGAAUUUAGUUUUUGUUUCUAUAUUAGAUAAAUUAGGUUGCUCUUGUUCUUUUAGAAACAAUAAAAUCGCAUUAUCUAUGAAUUCAAAUGUGUUGGUACUAGUUCUGCUGCAAACGGACAAUAUGAUUACUUCAUUUGACACCACGAACAACUUGAUACAUAACUUUUGGUGNNNNNNNNNNNNNNNNNNNNNNNNNNNNNNNNNNNNNNNNNNNNNNNNNNNNNNNNNNNNNNNNNNNNNNNNNNNNNNNNNNNNNNNNNNNNNNNNNNNNNNNNNNNNNNNNNNNNNNNNNNNNNNNNNNNNNNNNNNNNNNNNNNNNNNNNNNNNNNNNNNNNNNNNNNNNNNNNNNNNNNNNNNNNNNNNNNNNNNNNNNNNNNNNNNNNNNNNNNNNNNNNNNNNNNNNNNNNNNNNNNNNNNNNNNNNNNNNNNNNNNNNNNNNNNNNNNNNNNNNNNNNNNNNNNNNNNNNNNNNNNNNNNNNNNNNNNNNNNNNNNNNNNNNNNNNNNNNNNNNNNNNNNNNNNNNNNNNNNNNNNNNNNNNNNNNNNNNNNNNNNNNNNNNNNNNNNNNNNNNNNNNNNNNNNNNNNNNNNNNNNNNNNNNNNNNNNNNNNNNNNNNNNNNNNNNNNNNNNNNNNNNNNNNNNNNNNNNNNNNNNNNNNNNNNNNNNNNNNNNNNNNNNNNNNNNNNNNNNNNNNNNNNNNNNNNNNNNNNNNNNNNNNNNNNNNNNNNNNNNNNNNNNNNNNNNNNNNNNNNNNNNNNNNNNNNNNNNNNNNNNNNNNNNNNNNNNNNNNNNNNNNNNNNNNNNNNNNNNNNNNNNNNNNNNNNNNNNNNNNNNNNNNNNNNNNNNNNNNNNNNNNNNNNNNNNNNNNNNNNNNNNNNNNNNNNNNNNNNNNNNNNNNNNNNNNNNNNNNNNNNNNNNNNNNNNNNNNNNNNNNNNNNNNNNNNNNNNNNNNNNNNNNNNNNNNNNNNNNNNNNNNNNNNNNNNNNNNNNNNNNNNNNNNNNNNNNNNNNNNNNNNNNNNNNNNNNNNNNNNNNNNNNNNNNNNNNNNNNNNNNNNNNNNNNNNNNNNNNNNNNNNNNNNNNNNNNNNNNNNNNNNNNNNNNNNNNNNNNNNNNNNNNNNNNNNNNNNNNNNNNNNNNNNNNNNNNNNNNNNNNNNNNNNNNNNNNNNNNNNGAUCUAUUAAAUACAUUUUUCAAUUUCCAUGACCUCCUAUCUCCCCUAGACACUCACUCAACCACUAAGGAGGAAUCACUCUCAACCACCACAUCUGAAAAUUUAAAUUGCUGGAAAAAUAACAAAGCAUGUAACACUACUUGAAGUCUUGAACCUUCGUCAAAAGCUCACAACAUUCCAGUUCCUUUUGCAAAGUAACCUAACAACUCCUCCUUGAUCCCACAAAACCCCGCCAAUACCACUUACUAUGGGGUUCCCUUUCGACGCCUCAUCCACAUUAAACUUCAAAAUAGAGGCUGGCGGUUGCUCCCAUUACACUGUUUGUGGCAUAUUUUGUUUCCGUGGUCAUUUGAUACGCUCAAAGCCUCUAGCAAACUGUUCCAAAUCAUAUGGACAAUCAUUCCACUUCCCUUUGACCUACCAAACACACAAACCAAGCAAUAGUCUCAUAUAUGUUCAACACAAACAACUGUGUUAUUAAAUACGCAUGCAUUUCUAUGUAGUAAUUGAUAUUAAAUAAUUAGCACUGAAGUAGACUUAAAAUUUUAUUCAUUUAAAAAAUAUAGAAAAUCAUUAUGUGAAUUUGAAAUAUAUGAAAUCAAGUAAUAAAUUUUAAUAUCUUAAAUAAGUCAUAAUGACAUAUUUUUUACACAUUAUAUUCAUAAUAAAUUAAUUUUAACUUUUAAAAUUAUAAUAAGAAAUGAUUUUAUUAGUGUAAAGAAUUAUUUAUUAAAUUUAAACUUAUUCAACUUUGGUCAUAGUUAUUUUACUCCUUAUCUGUUUAUUUUAUGUGGGGAAGUUUUCUCUGCUCUCAUUCAGAGAGAAUUAAAUGCUUCCAAUUUGAGUGGUAUUAAAAUUGCAUGUGGUGCUUCAGCGCCUAUUAUCUCACAUCUCCUUUUUGGAGAUGAUAGUAUUAUCUUUGCUCGGGCCAAUAGAGAGGAAGCUCAGUGUGUGAAAAGCAUCCUUGCUGAGUAUGAGAAAUUUUCUGGCCAGGUCAUUAAUUUUGAUAAGUCCAUGCUCUCCUAUAGCCGAAAUGUGCUUAGUCCUUGUUUCAAUGAGCUGAGAGUGCUUUUGGGUGUUAAGGCAAUGGAUAUCUAUGACAGGCAUCUGGGGAUCCCGACUAUUAUUCAAAGAAAGGGUUUGGAAAAAACUCAAAGGCUGGAAGGAACGUUCUCUAUCUCGAGUAGGGAGGGAGGUUCGUAUUAAGGCAGAUUCCCAAGCAAUUCCAUCUUAUAUUAUGUCUUGUUUUAUUUUGCCUGAUGGUUUAUGUGCAAAUAUUGAAAGGAUGAUUAGCAAAUUUUACUGGAGCGGUGAUGCUUCCCGGAGGGGAAUUCAUUGGCUUAAAUGGGAAUCCCUUUGUUGUUCAACAUUGGAUGGAUGCGUGGGAUUCCGUGAUUUCAAAGCUUUCAACACUACUUUGGUAGGGAAGACUUGGUGGAGGAUCUGUAAGCAACCAGAUUCACUUCUUUCUAGGGUGUUUAAAGCGGUGUACUUCCCUCGCGUUUCCCUUCGUGAUGCAAAGAAGCAUAAUCGCCCUAGUUAUACCUGGACAAGUAUUUUUCGUUCAAGGUGGGUUUUUGAGAAGGGUGCAAGAUGGAAAGUAAGGAAUGGUCGUUCAAUCGACAUUUGAAAAGAUAGUGGCUUUCGAGUGGAGUACCUCUCAUUUAUAGAGAGGAUUUAGCCCAACAAGGUAAUUUAAAAUUUAUGUCGGAUUUUUUUCCCUAACAUGUAGGUGUGGGACACAAGCUUGGUUGAGAUGGUUUUCUGGCCUCCUAUAGCAAAGGAGAUUCUUCAAAUACCUCUUCCUUUAGGCCAACAACUCGAUGAAUUUUUCUGGCCUUACAUGUGACACCCGGGGCCGACGAGGGCGGGGAGUGAUCGCCGGUGCAGUGAGGCACGGACAAGGAGCGACUCCUGGCAGGCUUCUAGGCGAAGGGGCACAUGAAUGAACCGAUCUCACACCCGAACAAGAGGUAUUCCGAGUCUGUAUAGGGAUGGACUAUACAGUUGAGGAGGGCAUACAAGAUUUGAUUGAUACUACUCAUAACAACAAGAUGCAUCUUCUUUUCGGGAGCCUAACUCAUAAAAACUCCAUAGUUAAGUGUGCUAGCCUUGGAGUAAUAUUGGGAUGGGUGACCUCCUGGGAAGUUUUAUCGGGAAGUGCGCAAGUGAGGACAAAGCGCGCUAAAAAGACUCGUGUUGUUACCGUGAGACCAGUCGUCAGAUCGGGAUGUUACAAAUGGUACCAGAGCCGACCUCUCCCAGUAGGGUGUGGUUCGGGGACGAACCAAGCGGAAGCUGGUGGGCCUGUGACACCCGAGGCCGACGAGGGCGGGGAGUGAUCGCCGGUGCAGUGAGACACGGACAAGGAGCGGCUCCUGGCAGACUUCUAGGCGAAGGGGCACAUGAAUGAACCGAUCUCACACCCGAACAAGAGGUAUUCCGAGACUGUAUAGGGAUGGACUAUACAGUUGAGGAGGGCAUAAAAGAUUUGAUUAGUACUACUAAUGACAACAAGUUGCAACUUCUUUUCGAGAGCCCAACUCAUAAGAACUCCAUGGUUAAGUGUGCUAGCCUUGAGUAAUAUUGGGAUGGGUAACCUCCUGGAAAUUUUCCCGGGAAGUGCGCAAGUGAGGACAAAGCGCACUGAAAAGACUCGUGUUGUUACCGUGAGGCCAGUCGUCAAGUCGAGAUGUUACAUUACACCACAGAUGGCUCAUACACAACAAAAUCAGGCUAUGCAUUCAUCCGUUAGAAGAGAGUUCAGGCAACUGCUUCGAGUUCUCAGGGACAAUAGCAUGUUGCGGGCUAUUGGAAGUCAUUGUGGCAGUCGCGUACGCUCCCUCGGUGCUAAGACGUCUCAAGGCGAGCCUCCGUUGGAAUAUUGCCGGUCAUAUCAGCUCUAAGAGCUUGUGGGGUGGACGUUGAAGACGCUUGUCCUUUCUGUCAUGGGGAGUCAAAAACUAUCAAGCAUGUCUUCUUUUCCUGCUUAGUGGUCCAGCGAUGGUGGUUUGCAUUUCCAACAGGUCUGCGGUUCCAAAACAGUGAAUCUCUACAUGAUUUUAUGCAGCAAAUUUUUCGUAUUGCAAAUCCGGAAAUCAUUGGAUUGUGUGUGGCUUUCAUGUACGCCAUUUGGGAGUUAAGGAACAAGGUUCUGUUCCAGGGUGCUACGCCGUGCUUGGAGGGCCUGCUCUGGCGCUUAUCAAGUCUUCACGGGCCACCAUAUUAGCGGGUGGAAGUGCAGCAUCGUGCAAGUGGUUCAGAAACGUCAGCGAGAUGGAGGCAUCCGGAAGGAGAUGUGAUUAAGUUGAAUUUCGAUGCCUCCUGGAGUUUUUCCUCAGGUGUUGGGCUUGGUUUGAUAGCCAGGAAUGCUGAUGGAGAGGUAAUAGCAGCAACUACGACAUGGCCCCUCCAAGUUUCUUCAUCUUUGUUGGCUAAGGCGCUAGCCUUCCGUUGGACCAUUUCCAUGGCUAUGGACUUAUGCUUCCCUGAAGUUUGUCUAGAGACUGAUUGUUUGUAGCUUUGAAGCUUGGAGGAAAGCCAAGCGAGGCUCUUCUUAUUUAUUUUCUAUUUUGCAAGAUUGUAGAGAUAUGAUUGCGUCAUUUCGUUCUUUUCAUUUAUUGUUUGUUAGGAGGUCCGGUAAUUCUGUAGCUGAUCACUUGGCCAAGAACUCUUCAAAAUUCCCAAACUUAGUUUGGAUUGAAGAGGUGCCACCGAAAGUUUUCCUUAGUUCAAACUGAUGUAGUUGCUUCUAUGGCACCUUGGUUUUCUUCUUAAUAUUAUGUCUACUUUUUUUUAUAAAAAAAACAUGUUAAAGAGAAAGUGGUGUGAAAAUAUCAAAACCAUUAAUUUUCAGCUACAAAAAGAUCCUAUGAUAUAAUACAAGUACAUUAUAAUAAAGGGGUCAAUAAUGUGAACCAAAUAACUGGUUUAACAUUUUACUCUUAAAUCUACAAUUGGAGAUUUGAAUAUAAUGUUGUGAAUGAAAAUAAAUUUCACAGCUUUGUUACAUAGUAGGUUGAUUGUGAAGUGAUGUAUUAGUCUCACAUCGUGUAUGGACAAUAAGGAUUGAUUACGUAAUAUAAAAAAUAAGAGAAAAUAGGAUGAUACAUUAAUAGUGUAAAGUUUUUCACAUGAUUAACCAUUCAGAUUUUAGAAAUGUAUUAUGUCAACUAAUUAAAUUAAAUUAAAUAAAUUUUCUCACAUAAACAAAAUAUAAUCGGUUAACCAGGUAAAAAGAAAUUCCCUCAAUGCAUGGUGAGUUUCACUUAACUCAAAAGUUUAGCUCAAGAGUCUAAAUUCUUUUGUCAAUGUAGGGCUUCUAACACUACCCACACACAUGAUUUGACAUCUGAAGCGUAAAAUAAACAUUAACGGGUGAUCUAAAUAUAUGAGGUCUAAAAAAAUAUAAAUGUAUGAGACAGUUGGAUAAUAAAUUAUUCUAAAAGAAUAAAGGGAUCACGUGUGUUUUUUUUUUUUUUACACGUCUGAAUCAAUAAGUGAAUUACCAUAAUAAUAAAAAAAACACGUCCAAGGAAUCUCUUCUGACUCGUCACACGCAUCUCCAACCGCACCUUACUCGCAUCUCCAACACAUAACACAUCACAUAAUCGUGUCAUUUUUAUUUAGAUAUGCACAAAGGCUUAUCAUAAUAUCAUGUAUGCAUGGACCACAUAGAGCGUGAACUUGAAAUCAAACUUGAAUUAUUGGCAUCUUUUGGCUAUGUUUGGAUUGAUAGAACAUAAUGGAACGGAACGGAAUGGAACAUAAUGGAGCGGAAUAGAAUGAGAUGGAAUGGAAUAAAAUUCACUUACCAUUGUUUAGAUAUUUUAUAAUGGAGUGGAAUAAAUUUACCACUCCAUUGUUUGCAUAAGGGAUGGAAUGAAAUGAAUUAUAAUUUAUUUAUUCCUAUUUUACCCUUAAUUGCAAUUUAAAUAUCAUUGAUUUUACCCCUUUCUAAUAUCAGUUUUUGUGUAUGAGUUCAGUUCAAUUGGAAGUAGUGUCAAGAAAACAAACAAAUAUAGUAUAAGGGGUGAGAUUAAAAGCAGAAAAUGACAACAUGACAACAGAUUUUCAAACGAGAAGAAAAAAAGGAAGAAUGGAACAUAACCAACCAUGAAAAUAUUAGCGUUAGAGAAGAGGGUUUAUUGAGAUAAUAUUGUGAGUGAACCAGUUAUUUGUGAAUGAGAGCAGAAGGUCCAUUGCAACUCGAUCGGGAUCCAACAUAAAGGAGAAUCUUUCAAAAAAUCAUAAAGGAGAAGCAAAAGGAUAAAAACGUGUAGUUGAGGAGCAGUUGCAGAGGGGUAAUAUAGUAUUUUAAUAAUUUUAUUAGGUGAUCAGUUUUUGUUCCAUUCCUUUCCACCCAAAUUGGGAGGGAACAAAUUUGAUGGAAAACAAUGGAACAUGAUGGAUCUUGAACCAUCACUUACCAUUGAGUUCCAUUCUAUUUUAACCAACACAAACAAUGGACCAUUCCCUCCAUCCUUCCCAUUCCACUCCACUCCAUCCCCUCCCCCCAAUCCAAACAGACCCUUUAUCCUCGACCAUCUUCAUGUGUCAUAAUUACAAUUUACAAGGACGUACAAAGCUACGGCUGGAAAAGCGGUUUGUCUAGGGGAUGCACCGAUACUCUUUUCCACUUAGAAUAAUCUCAUUUAUUCAUACAAGCGGAGAUAGAAAUUAGAAAGGAAAGAUAUGAUAAAUGAUAUUAUUAUAAAAAAAAAAGUAGAGUGUCAUUGUCGGUUUAAAUAAAUUUUUAUUCUGACAGUUGUGCGAAUUAGCUAAGAAACCAACGUAAUAAUUAUCUAACCAAGUAAUUACUUGAGGAAAUAAUUAACAUUGUUGUAAUGUUUAGAACAGGUAGUAAUUGAAUAGUAAUAUUUUUAUAUUUACUUUUUUACAAAAAAAAAAGAGUUGUUUAUUUAAUAUUUAUGAUUAAAGGGUACUAGAACGAGCCCUCCCAGUUGAGGAAAAGAGUCAAAGCAAUACAACAAUAUAUUUAUACAAGAUAUUAAGAAGUUUUAUCUAAUUAAAUUAUAAAUUAUUUUAGAUUUUUCAUCUAAUAAUAUAUAUUAUACUAAAUUACUAAUGGUUAAAUAUGUUUUUUGAAUUAAAAAUGAAAUAAAUAAAUGCUGGUUGGUUCAACCCAAUUUUUAGUACUAGUUUAAUACCGUUUUGGACCGGUUCAAUCGGUUAUUGGCGGGUGUUGCUCAAUUCCAGAAUAUGAAUCAUUAGAUUUGGCACCCCACUCAUUAGAAAUACCACCCCAUUUACGGAAACUUAGUUUCCGAAAUAUUUCGGAAAUAAGGUUUCCGAAGCAUUUUUUCACUCAAAAGUGGGGUGUUAUAUGUAUUUUACAAUACAAAUCACGAAUUAAUUUCGGAAUCUAAGAUAGAUUCUGAAAUAAUUCGGAACUUGAAACUCUGAAAAUAGGGGGUGUGAAAUCUAAUGGUUGGAGUGGCAAAUCCACCUCUCCAGAAUAUGCCGAUUGUACCACUUGACCAAACCGACCGAUUUGGUCCGGUUUUUGAAAAUACAGAGAAAGGGUCAGAACCACAGAAGUACUAUAGGUUUUUCCCAAAUCAAUUAUUAAAUCUAUAUUUGAAUACAUCUUGGCAUAAGUAUAAACGACUGUAAGAAUUCAUUUUGAGAAUAAAAUAAACUGAAUCCCAAUGUGUGAGAUAGAAGUCAACUCAUGUUGUACUCAUUUGAUAUCAAAACACAUUAAAUCUUGCUUCUUUUUUUUUUUUUGUUUAUUUAAGCGAGUAAGAUUUUCAUUUGACUCGUAUGCUCUUUUACUGAAGAAUCACUUGUUGUAAAAUGUGAGGGGUUUUAAUUUACUGACACUUUUUCAUGACCCAAAACAUUAGUUGUGACCGCGCACAAGCUAUCACCAUAGCUUGACAAGCAUGCUCUCAUACAAUUUAUUUCCUCAACAUCACUUUAUAAAAUAAAUAUGCUUCAAAGGUAAAAUCAGAAAAAUUGACAUAGUUUCCUCUGCAUUUUCAAUACUUCCAAAAUAUACUAAGACUUGUCAAUGAGACUCUACAUCCUGUCAGAGAUCCAAAUAUACAUACAUCCAUUAUUCAAGUGGCACCAUCAUCUAGUGCAUCAUAGCGUUUUACAUUUUACAAAAUAAGACCAUUCUAUAAUCCUUAUAACUACGGUGUACAAAGAAAGAUCAACAAAAGACAUCAGUAUGGCUACCAAUCGAAAGAGGCCCAACAAAAAAGAAGUAGUUGGACAAUUUGUAACUGAAGUAGACUCAUACUCAGUUGCAAGUGAAUCUAAAAUGGAAAUAAAGGAAAGGGCAAGUCACAAGACACGAAGACUUUGUGAAGGUCCAUCAACCACCAUGAACUAGAAGGGGAACAUCAUAAGCAUGAUUUGUUUCUAUUUAAAACUAGGGAAGCAAAUAACAAAUGAUCGAAUCAAGUAAUCCAAAUCACUUACAAAAAAUUAUAUAUGUUACGGUAAUAGUUUCAUGCUUUACUAAAUCAAAUCAAUGUCACUUUAACAUAGGUUAAACUUAAAGAACCAAAUAAUGCAGUUAAAUCAUUUCCAAUUUAAUAAAAACAAUCAAAGUUUGAUAAUUCAAUACAAUAGGCUCACACAUGAGAGAACCAGAAUUAUAAGGUGACUCCAUCUCAUUGAUUGCCUUUUCCUCCUACAGGGCGACCUUUCCCCGAGGGAGGCUCCAUCCAACGGAUAACCCUUUCCCUUCUCUAGUCAUAUCUGAAGGUAUGAAAAACGGUAGAAAGGGGGGGUUUGAAUAACGUUUUCAGUACAAAACUACCACCUUAAAGAUUUUAACAAAUCUUUUCGAGAACUAAGUGCAAAAGAUAGAGAUAGAAAAGCACACAAGGAUUUUAUCCUGGUUCACUUGAUAAAUCACUCAAGCUACUCCAGUCCACCCGUUAAGGUGAUUUCUUCCUUCUUAGAAUGAAGGCAAUCCACUAAUCAGGUAAGAGUUACAACUGCACUUGAAACCUACAAGUGACUAACAAUUACACUGACUUAGCUCACACUAAGAUUCACUCUCUUAGUCUUCUCUAGGAUCCGAUCAACCUUGAUCUCCUAAAGGAAAAUCAAACAACUGUUUGAGGUUGGUGUUUACAAGGGUUUGCUUCUGAAUAAGCUGAGUGUAAACUAAAUAAAUUACAAGAUGAAAGAAAGCUUAGAAUAUUUUGAAUAUCUUGCGCGUGUGUUGCUUCUUGUAUUCACUUCUCUUCUCUAGCCGCUUCUUUCAAUCUUCAGCCUCUAUAUAUACUCCAAGGAUUAGGGUUGAGCGUUGCAUGGGAAAUGCUACCGUUGGAGGGCAGUUCUGGAAAAUCCAGCUUCUGCUGUGGCUGAGAACGUUAGGUAAGUCGUCAGGAAGGUACACUUGCUUUUGUACUUGGAUAGCGACUUGACCUUUUAACCUAGGAGACUUCUGAUCAGAGGAAUGCUUCGUAUUGGAACUUGUGAAGCCGGUUGAUCAGAGUCAGAGGGAUAGCACAGAUCCUCUGACCAUUGUAUCUUCUGAUUCUGAACUCAGAGGGAAGAACAUGGCCUUCAGAGUUUCUUGCUUCUGGACUUCAGAGUUUCUACUAUUCAGCUUCUGGAUCUUCAGAGUCUUCUACACCAUCGGAACAUCUGAACCUUCAGUGUUUCUUGGUUGUCAGAACUUCUGGAUCAUCAGAGCUUCUAGCGACUGAGUCCUCAUCAGAGUUUGUAUAGCUUCAGAUCUUCUGAAGCUUUUCCACUGUUCAUACUGAACAUGGUGAAUGCGAAAGCGUUGCUUGGGUUACCCUUUAUACACAGUGCUUCUGAUUUGUGUGAAAUUGAGUCAGGGUCAGAGCCUGUAAAUAGCACACUCAGAAAAACACGUUAGAGUACCACAAUUGUUCAUAUCAAAAGGUUAACUUGUAAUCAUCAAAACAUAGAGUUGUACUACUAGAUCAAAACUUGAUCUUACAAUCUCCCCCUUUUUGAUGAUGACAAAACUAAGAUUUUUGAUGAACAAUUCUUAAACAUUAAACUGAAUUCACUCAGAGUUUAGAGAUAUAGAAUAAGACUUAUCCUGAUGUGAAUAGUUUAUCUUGCUCAUUCUGAAUUCAAGUCACUGCUUGAUUCUGAGCUUAGCUCCCCCUGAAUCUAAUACUUGAUGAAAACGUUAGUAAAGUCUAGAUUCUGAGCUAAAUCAUAUAAGAGUUCAGAGUGAAAAGCUUAUGACAUAGAUGAAAAACGAAUAAUCAGAGCGCAUAAGUGAUCAGAGUCAUGGACAAGGUAUCAGAGUCUUGGGUAUCAGAGUCAACUUAGAAUCACUUCAGAAGAAGUGAAAUGUAUUCCUUGUAUUUGCCCAGUGACACAUCUAUGGUCAUGAAGGUGGAACUCUUAAAAUCUCCAAAAGAAAAAUAAGUCACACUAACACAUCUUACACAUCAAAAACUGGGUUUACUCCCCCUUUUUGUCAUAAGCAAAAAGCUCGGGGUGUGAAAAACUUAGCUUGAAGUACAAGGUACUCCCCCUUAGAGAAGGUCUAAGUUGAAAGAAAAUGAAGACGAUGUAAGAAUCAGAGUGAGGCGAUAAUAAAUAGAAGAGUUAAUGCAAGGGAUGAACGUUUACCACCGGUCAAGUGAGUAAAUAGAAGGGUCAGUUACCAAGAACUUAACCUCGAGAAACUGUAAGAGCAUUAACUUUCAGAGAGAAAGUGAAACCUAUAUAAAGCGUUGGAGAGAAAGGUAAGCUUCACAUCUCGAAUAAUUUUCAGUAAGAAAAAUGGCAUCAUACAGAAAGGCAUUAGAAGAGCUCAGAAGGAAGGCGUUUGAGGAAGAUAUAUUCCUCAAUAUUAGGCAUCCCGAUGGUACAAAGACCAUACAAGAGCUUACGAAGACACUGCUGGAAGAAGAUCUUGGUCCAGAGAUGGAGAAAGAUCUGAAGGAGUUCCUCUGCUUCGUGGAAGAGAUUCAGAGGCUUUGCCAGCGGGAGCUGAAUCUGCUGGAAGAGAAGGAGACUGUGGAAAAGAGACUUAAGACGACAGAAGAUAGUCUAGAAAAAGAUGAUCUGAGCAUCAAACGCGGCAACAUAGAGUAUGCAUUGGAUCGUCUGGAGAAGGAAAGAGUGGAGCAGCGCCAAGAAUGCAGAAGAAUGAGGAAGGAUCCUCCAUUCUAGAUAUAGAGAAUAAUGUAUGAUGGAAAGAAUUAUGAUGUAAACAUAGAACAAUUAUGAAUAAAACAGGUUUUGCAAACAUAUGUGACACAAUUAUAUAUAGCUAUAUGCAUAUAGAAUCACAAAUGAACAAAUUAAAGUAAGUAAAUAAGCAGAGUUUAAAUAAAACAACGUUAAAUAAAAGGAAAAGGAAGAAAAAGAAGAGAUCCUAAAAAAAAAAAAAACUAAGAUUUGUCAGUACGGCGCAGAAGUUCCAUCAUCAUGUGCUUCAUCUCAAUCAGCAUGGAUUCAUGAGUGUCAAGACGUUGUUCCAUGAUGUCGAGUCUGGAUGAGCUUGUCGGAGUAGAGCUGGAAGGAACGUUCUGAGCAGCUUGAGGUUCUGGAAUGGAAGCAGAAGCAGCAGGAGUAAACAGAACUGGUGCAAGUCGCUCUGCCUCAGCCUCAGCUUCAAGACGUUCUGCCUCAAGUCGGGCUUGUUCAGCCUGAGCUGCUGCUUGACGGGCAGCUUCUUCUUCUUGUUCUUUCUGUCUCUUGGCUUCUUCAAUGGCGUCAAGAAGCUUGGUUCUCUGUUCGAGUUCAUGAAGAGCCACCCUCCU
rnacentral:lncRNA from 1 species